CACAUGGUCGAGUGGUACUCAGA
rnacentral:siRNA from 1 species